GACGAACGCUGGCGGCGUGCUUAACACAUGCAAGUCGAACGGAAAGGCCCUGCUUUUGUGUGGUUCUCGAUUGGCGAACGGGUGAGUGACACGUGUGUAACCUGCCCUUGACUUUGUGAUAACUUCUGGAAACUGGGGCGAAUACCGGAUAGGAGCUCCUGCUGCAUGGUGGUGGUUGGAAAGUUUCGGCGGUAGUGGAUGGUCUCGAGGCUUAUCAGCUUGUUUGGCGGGUAGGUGCUGUCCAAGGGUUUGACGGGUAGCCGGCCUGGGAGGGUGACCGGCGACAUUGGGCCUGAGAUACGGCCCAGACUCCUACGGGAGGCAGCAGUGGGGAACAUUGCACAAUGGGCGGAAGCCUGAUGUAGCAACGCCGGGUGCGGGAUGACGGCCUUCGGGUUGUAAACAGAUUUCGACUGUGACGAAGCGUGAGUGACGGUAAUGGGUAAAGAAGCAACGGCUAACUACGUG
rnacentral:rRNA from 1 species